AAUUCGCCCUUAGAGUUUGAUCAUGGCUCAGAAUCAACGCUGGCGGCGUGCCUCAGACAUGCAAGUCGAACGCGAAAUCUCCCUUCGGGGAGAAAGUAGAGUGGCGCACGGGUGAGUAACACGUAGGUAAUCUACCUUCGGAUGGGGAAUAACACCGAGAAAUCGGUGCUAAUACCGCAUAAUGCAGCGGCACCUAAUGGUGACAGUUGUUAAAGCGGGGGAUCGCAAGACCUCGCGUCUGAAGAGGAGCCUGCGGCGGAUUAGCUAGUUGGUAAGGUAAUGGCUUACCAAGGCGACGAUCCGUAACCGGCCUGAGAGGGCGGUCGGUCACACUGACACUGACAUACGGGUCAGACUCCUACGGGAGGCAGCAGUCGGGAAUUUUGGGCAAUGGGCGAAAGCCUGACCCAGCAACGCCGCGUGAAGGAUGAAAUCCCUCGGGAUGUAAACUUCGCAAGAACGGGAAGAAUAAGUCUGUGUUAACACCACAGGCGAUGACGGUACCGUUUGUAAGCUCCGGCUAACUCCGUGCCAGCAGCCGCGGUAAUACGGGGGGAGCAAGCGUUGUUCGGAUUUACUGGGCGUAAAGGGCGCGUAGGCGGCCACCGCAAGUCAAUUGUGAAAUCUCCGGGCUUAACUCGGAAAGGUCAGCUGAUACUGCGGGGCUAGAGUGCAGAAGGGGCAACUGGAAU
rnacentral:rRNA from 1 species